rnacentral:rRNA from 1 species
CCUACGGGAGGCUGCAGUGGGGAAUUUUGCGCAAUGCUCGUAAGAGUGACGCAGCGACGCCGCGUGAAUGACGAAGGCCUUCGGGUCGUAAAGUUCUUUCGACAGGGAAGAAAAUGCCUAUAAGUAACUGUGUAUGUAUUGACGGUACCUGUAUAAGCAGCCCCGGCUAACUCCGUGCCAGCAGCCGCGGUAAUACGGAGGGGGCGAGCGUUGUUCGGAGUGACUGGGCGUAAAGAGCACGUAGGCGGUGUUGUAAGUCAUUAGUCAAAGACUAGAGCUAAACUUUAGUAAGGCUAGUGAUACUAUAAUACGAGAGUGUCAGAGAGGAAUGCAGAAUUCCUGGUGUAGCGGUGAAAUGCGUAGAUAGCAGGAGGAAUACCGUUAGCGAAGGCGGCAAUCUGGCUGGAAACUGACGCUGAGGUGCGAAAGCGUGGGUAGCAAACAGGAUUAGAUACCCGAGUAGUC